AAUCGAUCGAAUUUCUAGUCGCAAUUCUCUGUCUGUCCCUGGGCUCUGGGGAGAAAGGGGGGGCUGUGGCUUGGGGGCUGAGGAGGGGCUAAGGCGGGAGGGGCCCCUCAUCCCCUCACCCUCCCUUUUCGCCUUGUGGGGGCCCUGAGGGCCGCCCCAGAAGGGAUCGAGGGAAUGUUGUGAGCUGGGGCACAACGGCGGGGCAGACACUGGAGGAAGCGAGAGACGUCGCCAGGGACCCAGGGACUUCUCCCUCCAGUUGCCCCGCCCGCCCGGGCCGCUCGCCACUCCCGCUACAGCGCCCACCCUGUCCCGGGCCGUCCCGCGCCAGCAGCGUAGCCCCAGCCCCGGCGCCCGAACGCUCUCCCUCCGCAUCACUGCUCUGGUCCCCACUUUGGCGAUCGUGCCCCCGAGUCCCGCUUUCCCCCCGACAGCUCUGGAUCGGGCGCCUGCGCCUUCAAGGGUACCCGGCUCACUUGCCCUCCUCACCGGCCGAGUUUGCGCCCUUCCAGGAAUCGUUUGCGAGAAGGACAAACUUUUGAGCGGAUGGAAAUCUAGUCUAGAGGAGCUGGUUCGGAGCAGACAAUUCUUCUGCACUCCCAGCCAUCUGCAAGCCACCGUCAGCCUGUCCCUGCUCCUGAAAAUGGAAUUGCUGAUGCCCCCUAGGCUGUUACUCUCCCAGGGGGUCAUCUAUCCCUUGGAAUGGAGAGGCUGGCAAUUCUGGCUCUUGGCUAUCUUUCCACGGAACACCCCUGAUUAGCCAGACCCACCACCAUCUACAUCUGCUCCGCAAAGAAGGAAGGCAGCUUGUUCCAGAGGUUGGUGAGCGGCUGCAGACUGCCUGCCUAGAACAGCCUCCUUACUCCAGCCUGGCAGGAAGAAAGGAACCUGACUCGCUUCACAGGAUACGGAAUCUCAGUGGGCAGAGCUGAGAGCCAUAGCUUCGUCCUGGAGCCUGAUGGCUAGAAGCAGCUUCUGUCUUUGGGUUCUCCCUGCUGCCUCGGCCUCUGCUCUGUUCAGUUUGCUGUUGUGUUUUUCUCCCUCGUGUUGGGGUGGUGGGGUACAGGGAAAUGAAAUGUCUUCUCCCAAGCCCCUGAUGCUUCCCCAUGCCUCCACCAGCCUCAAAGCUGCUGACAGUAAUGAACUGCAGCUUCCAGCCCUGCCCAUAAGCUACUCACAGCAAAUUCAAAUUCUCUUCUGGGCAGGAGGAAGGGCAGAUGCUCCCUCCUUCUCAAGCCUCCCUGGCUCAUUGAUCCAUUUUGAGGGCAUUUGAGGGUCAAAAUUGAGACCAGAUUGCUUCAGUUGAUAUAAAAUUAGCAUUUCUUAUCACACCAAAGGCCACACCUGUUCUCUGGCCUCACAAACCAGUGAGGAUGUAAAGGUUUGUCGAGGUGGAGGAAUAGAAUCGAAAUGAACAAUCUGCUCCAUUUAGAAGUCAGUCGCUUCAGCGGUUCAUUCCACUAAUAUUUAUCUAGUACCUACUCUGUGCCAAAAAUUGUCUCUACCUCAAUUUGCCCCAACUAUCAAAAAAAAAAAAAAAAUCCUUGCCACUGUGAGGCUUCACUGUGUUGUGGACCAAUAUACAAAUAAACCAAUGGAAAAGAAA